CACUACCUGUGAACAUGGUCGGCCUGGCGGGUUGUCUAAGCCGGCCCACCAAUGUACUGUGGGUUGUUGUGUUGGGUAGUCCUCUGUGCUACAGACGGAGAAUGUAGGGACGCCCUGGACCUCAUGUCGGUUGGUGUGUUGGUUGGUCCUCCGUGCUAGACAGAGUUGUGAGGACGCCCUGGACUGGAUGAUAGUUGGGGUGACAUGUCAGGUGUGCUACGGGGAUUCGAAGAGCGUCAGUGUGGGCCACUGAAGUCGAAACACUUCAAGCAAUAAACACCUGUUACGAUUUGUGGUUUAUUACACAUUUGGAAUCCCCAACAUUUCGACUUCAACCACAAUGGGCUGGCAAGAGGAGAUGGAAUUGUUAAAGAGGAAGAGGGCCAUUGCCAAGGGGAAAUUCACAAGAAAGGUGACCCUGCUGGAUGAGGGUGUACGGGAAGGUGAGCCAGUAUCAGUAUUGAAGAAUAACUAUGAACAGAUUUCUGAGGCCUUUCAACACCUAGAAGACAGUAAUGAUGUGAUAUUAAAAUAUGUGUGAUAAUAAA